CGACGGUGCCGUCGCCGGAGCCACCAGCUGAACAACCAAUUCCACCACCGUCUUCCUCCUCCUCUUCCACCGCCGCCGCCGCCACAGCAACCACCACUACCUCAGUAGCAUCACCACCUCUAAACCCUACCACAACCACCACUACUACUUCCGCCGCCGUUACCACUACUUCCGUCGCUGUCGCCAUAGUUCAACAGCAAACUCCAUUACUACCAAGACAGCCUUUUACUCGUACAUGGCAACAGCCAUCACCUUUUCAACACUUCUCUUUACCACCUCCACCACCACCACC
rnacentral:lncRNA from 1 species